UAGGGGCUGACACAUACAAUUUCUCCUUACUGCUUCAGCCAAAUUCUGUUAUUCCUUCCUCUAUAUGCUGUACCAAAAUGUAGUUUAUUAUCAACGUGAAAUGGUUGCUGGUUGGUAUAAGUCAGCGGCGUUGGUUUAAGCACAUAAUUGACGUUUUGUUUACAUGUGUUGAAUGGAAAUCAAUGGGAGCCGGCAAUACCUAAAUAGCGG